GUGAAAUACAGUAUAUGCUGCAUGUGGCCAUGUAAAUGAAUGUAUCAACUACUGCAACAUCCUGUUGGUGCUCCAGCCUUCCCACCUGAGCCAAGGAACUCGCAAUACACCGCUAUGGUGAUUUUGUCCCUGUUGCUCAAAGCACAGCCAUAAGAUGCCCAGGGAAAGGCAAGUUGCUUGAACCAUGGGGUGGAAGUGUUUUGUGGAAACAGCACCCAGCAGGAGGGCUGGGGCAGCUGCCAGCAGCCCUGAGAGGGGUUCACUCAGCUGUGUGGCCUGACCCAGGUGGGUGUGCAGGAUGGGAUCUCUUGCUUAAACGUCCCAAGGUAUCUUGGGGAGGGGGUGAUGUGAUGGGUCGGGAUGACCCAGCCCAUCUGAGGCUGUCACACUGCUGUGCUACCAGGGAUUAAGAAGGCUCUCUGUUAAUUAACAGGUAAUGAAGCACUUUGGAGACGAGGAGUAUGCGCUCUGCAAGACAAGAGAAAGAGCUGUGUUCCAGUGGCCUGCCACGCCAGGAGUUGCACAGCUUUUGGACACAUGCUGGCUUAGUGAAGCCUGCCAGGGAGAUGGGCUGUGCAAAGCCUUCUGAUGGCCUGGUGGAGGAUAACAGCUACAGGAGAGGAGCAGAG
rnacentral:lncRNA from 1 species